GGUGAAGGGCUACAGGAAAGGGGGUGUGACCGGGUUGUCACUCACAUGCUCAGGAGACAAGGUUGCUCUUUAAGGAAUUCAGUUGGCAGAACUGAGCCAAAGAGGGAGGAGAAGACCUAGGGGCCUGGCUUCUUGAGCAGGUUAGUCCAGAAGCCCCUCCAGGGGCCGCCCGUGAUCUAACUGCUGUGUGAACAAAAGAGCCUGAAACUAGAAAGCUUUCCAAGGGAUAUACAGAGAGAGAGAGAGACAGUGAGUGCAAGAGAGAAUCUGCAUCAGAUUCCACGCUGAGCACAGAGCCUCACGUGGGGCUCGAUCCCAUGACUUGGAGAUCACCUGCUGAGCUGAAACCAAGAAUUGGACACUUAACUGAUUGA
rnacentral:lncRNA from 1 species